rnacentral:rRNA from 1 species
GAUUAACGCUAGCGGCAGGCCUAAUACAUGCAAGUCGAACGGGAUUCAAAGUAGCAAUAUUUUGAUGAGAGUGGCGCACGGGUGAGUAACACGUAUGCAAUUUACCUUUAACUGGGGGAUAGCCCUCCGAAAGGAGGAUUAAAUACCGCAUAAUAUAUUGAAAUGGCAUCAUUUUAAUAUUAAACCUACGGGGGUUAAAGAUGAGCAUGCAUCCGAUUAGCUAGUUGGUGUGGUAACGGCUCACCAAGGCAACGAUCGGUAGGGGGUCUGAGAGGAUGAUCCCCCACACUGGUACUGAGACACGGACCAGACUCCUACGGGAGGCAGCAGUAAGGAAUAUUGGACAAUGGAGGCAACUCUGAUCCAGCCAUGCCGCGUNAAGGAUUAAGGCCCUAUGGGUUGUAAACUUC